rnacentral:lncRNA from 1 species
AGAAGUCUGAAACCGAGGCGUCAACAGAGCCGCCUCCCUCCGAAGGCUGUAGGGGAGGGUCCUGCCUGCCUCUUCCGGCUCCUUGUGGCUCAGGUGUCCCUUGGUUCAUGGCCGCCUCCAUCCAGCCUCCGCCUUCACACCACCUCUCCUCGUGUCUCUUCCGUCUCUUAUAAGGACACCCGUCCUUGGACUGAAGCCCACCCAGCCCUGCUUCAGGAGGAGCUCAGCGGGAGACCCUUAGCCUAAUUACAUGCACAGAGAGGAGUCGAGAUGGUGGAAUAGGACACGGAGCCCAGCUCCUGCCGAAGAUACAGCCAAAAUGCAUCCCCACGUGGAAGAGUUCCCGGAGAAUACCUCACUGGACGCUGGCAGAGGACCCCAGACACCCCAAGGUGCAAGAAAGAGCUCCAUGUAACCGGCUAGGAUGAAAGCAAAAAGAGAAAAAGGAAUCGGGAUGGGACCUGCACCUCGAGGAGGAAGCUGGAAAGGAGGAAAGGUCCCCCCACCAUGGGGAGCCCCUUCUCGGGUGGGGACCUUAGCAGGAACAGAGGGGGAGCCUCGGAGGCUCGGGGGAGACCACAGCGGCCGGUUGGUGGCAGCCAGAACAGAGAGCCGCACAGAGGUUCCACGCCACCUCAGUGUGGUCUCCAGCCCGAGACUUGCGGCUGCUGGUACCUGCGGGGCUCGGGACUGAAACUCAGGCUUCAGAGGACUGACCUGUGAAGAGGACUGGGGUUAGAGACAGCCUGCAAAGGGCCGAACUGUGAUGCUGAAACCGCACAACUCAGACUGGGAAUCAAAACCACUGUCUUCAUUGAGACUGCACGCUCAAGUUCUUUAGUCUCAUCACCGGAGGAAUUCCAUGAGCAGCAGCGAUAGGCGCUGCCUCCCCCUGUCCUGUGAACAGUUCUGCUUGGACGUCCUGUAGCCAGUCAACACAGAUGCAAUAUGGAAGGGACACCCGCCCACCAAGCUGAAGUGGAUAUUCAUUCAUCCUUGACUUGGGUCACUCUGCCUCCAAAGCCCAGCAGCUGCCAGACGAGUAACCCAUUCUGCAGAGGGACUCACACAAGGUGGCUCUGCCCUCAGAGAGCCAGGACCUGGACCCGAACGGCUGCAACGCCAUCCUUGGAGGAGGAGAGGAGCGGCGCCGCCCCAUGCGGCCUGCUCCAGCCGCCCCCAGGAGGACGGGGAAAGGAGAGCCUGGCUGUAUUGCUGGCUGUAAUCAGCCGCCAUGAGACCCACCCCGAGCACCAAGGAGAACUGGAAAGGGAGGCCUGUCCACAGAGGUGUGACUACCCAGGGGGUGAGCACGUGUGUCAGUGACAGAGAAGGAGCUACAGGUAAGUGGAGUGAAGGCUGGCGGUGUUCUGUCACGAUGAAGGUUCUGCCUGUGCCUUACUUUGCCAGUGAGGCUUCAUUUGUGUUGUGGUCCGUGCACAGGUCUGGCCCAGCUGAUCACAAACUUGGUUCAUCUCUGUUUUUAUAGCAGGGGAACAAAGGGAUGGGGUAGACAUCUCACUGUCAUCUGCUGAUUAGGUGUAGUGUGCCUACUUAAAUGGAGAAGCAAAAGAACAGGAUAACCUUGUGUAAGACAUAAAGGGACAAGACACGCUGCCGCGGAAGUCUCAAAAAUUCUGCAGCAUUUGCACCAUGGCAGGAAGGGUGAUAGGGUCGGGUGUGAUCGGCUCCUGCAUUCUGAGGCCCUUCGGGCUUAUCUUGUUCUUUUGUCCUCUGGGCAUCACAGCUUACACUCUGUGAAAUGGGCAGCACAGUAGAGGCCGUUCUUUCCACUGAGCCAGGGGAGGGAGGUCCAGAGUGGUGAUUUCUGUGAAUGACUAGGCGGCGCCAAGAGCAGGACGCCAGCAGAGUCCUUGUGCUUUCCUAACAGGUAAGGGAAGGGAGGUCAAGAAGAGAUGAGGAAGAGGAACCAUCAUUGAGGAGCCGUCAUUGAGGUCCUACAGUUUAGGAGGCUUUGGGCAGCACGGAGCAGAAAACUCCAGGUUCAAGGGACUAUUCGCCCUUGAAAACAAAAAAUAACUAGACUGAGGCAGCCUGAAGCUGGCACUCCUCUGCCACACCCCCGUCCAGGUGUCAGCAUCACCCGAAAGCUGGCAGUAAGGUGCAGUGGCAGUACCACCCGUGCCCAGCAGAGAGGGACCUGCCCUCUCGUAGGAGUGAGGAGACGGCCAAGGAGCCCCUGCAGGAAUUGUGCUCAUGGCCCACCACCGACACUCAGCCCCCAGCUCCUUCCUAAACCCUCACUGUCAGAACCACUGUCUUAGGAAUCAGGAAUUCCAGCUGGCUCUGAGAAUGGGACCCCUCUCCCUGAAUCAGGCAGAGGAGGAGAUGCCUGGAUAAAACCUGGGCUCAGUAGCAGGAAGGAUGUGGGGAGAGGGACGUCAGCCCUCAGACAGCUGCCACCCUCGAGGCACGCUCUGGUCUGUCAGCCAGACCUGGGCAGUUUCCUCGAUCUGUUUCUUCAUCUGGAUAUUGGGAACGAUGCUCCUGUAAGGUUGCCGACAAGAGGACAGAUUCUCGACAGCUGCACAUUGCUUUCACUAUUAUGAAGAUGCUUUGUUGCCAGUCUCCUGGUUUCCCUACACUCUAAACCCUCCUCUGAGCCUCUGGUCACCGGUGUCAUUCGUGAGCCAAAGCCUGGCUGGCUGUUUCCUCCAGACUCAGGAAGCUUGCUCCCACCUGGGCCACAAGGAAGUGCACUUCGGUCCCCAUUAAGCAAGACUCAGGAACAUUGGCUCCACCUGAUAAACAGUUCAAACAGAGGCAGCGCGUGAGGAUCAACUCUGGAACGUCUCAGUUGCUUCAGAACGUACUGCUCCCCAGCUCACACGUUCAUUCAUUUGGUUGUUCAUUCAACAAACAUGCCCUGAGCGCUGACUGCAUGCUGGGGAGUAAACUGGGCACCUUGAACACUCAGCUGCUAGGCUGAGUCUUUUUUUUUCAAUUGGUUUACAAUGGUUUUCAAUUGGUUUUUUUUUUUUCAAAUUGUUUUACAAUGUUGUGUUGGUUUCUGCCAUACAACAAUGUGAAUCAGUUUUAUAUACAUAUACAUGUAUCCCCUCCCUCUUGAGCCUCCUUGCUCCCACAUCCCAUCCUACCCCUUUAGGUCAUCACAGAGAGCCAGGCUGGGCUCCCUGUGUUACAUAACAACUCCCCACUAUCUAUCUGUUUUACACACGAUGGUGUAUAUAUGUUGAUGCUACUUUCUCCAUUUGUCCCACUCUCUCCCUCCCACCCUGUGUGCACAAGUCCAUUCUCCAUCCUUGCAUCUCCAUUCCAUUCCUGCAGAUAGGUUCAUCGGUACCAUCUUUCUCAGUUCGUCCCACCCUCACCUUCCCCUGCUGAGUCCACAAGUUCGAUCUCUCCUAGGUUCAUCAGUACCAUUGUUCUAGAUUCCACAUACAUGUGCCAAUGGGCUCGUUUUUCUUUUUCUGACUUCACUCUGUAAAACAGGCUCUAGGUUCAUCCGCUUCACUACAGCUGACUCCAGUUUGUUCUUUUUUGUGGCUGAGUAGUACUCCAUUGUAUGUAGGUACAUCUUCUUUAUACAGUCGUCUGUCAUUGGACGUCGGGGUUGCUUCCGUGUCCUGGCUGUUGUAAAUAUUUCUGCAGUGAACGCUGGGCUAUGUGUGUCAUGUGUCUUACAGUCUUACGGUUUUCUCAGGGUAUAUACUCAGUAGUGGGAUUGCUAGGCCAUAUGGUAGAUUUAUUCCUCGUAUUUUAAGGAAUCUCCAUACUGUUGUCCAUAGUGGCUAUAUCCGUUUACAUUCCCACCAGGAGUGCAGGAGUGUUUCCUUUUCUCCACAUCCUCUCAAGCAUUUAUUGUUUGUAGAUUUUUUUGAUGAUGGACAUUCUGACCCGUGUGAGGUGACAUCUCAUUGCAGUUUUGAUUGGUGUUUCUCUAAUAAUGAGCAGUGUUGAGCAUCUUUUCAUGUGUUUCUUGGCCAUCUGUGUGUCCUCUCUGGAGAAGUGUCUGUUCAGGUCUGCCCAUGUUUUGAUUUGGUUGUUUCUCUGAUAUUGUAGGUUGAAUCUUUAUGGGAAGAACAGGCUUUUUUUUUUUUUAAUAUCUUUGGCAUUUUUGAAGCAUUCCUGUCUUGAAAUGAAACAGAAAUUGUCUCAUUUAGAAAAUAAUUCCUUUCCUCCCACACACCCUGAGACAAGGUGUCAGGUGAUGUUCAGAUUUUCCAAGUACAAAUCACCUUUAGGUCAAAGCCCAAUAACUCAGUGGAAGUAAAGGGAAAUUUCUUAGGGCUGUGCUCAUAGUGGUUUUGAAUGGAAACAUCUUGACUGUAACAGCAUCAUGGUUUAAUUUCACACUAGAGAAAGGAAGAGCCGCUGUUAACCUCAAAACGAGGAAGACCAUAAUAGUCACCAAAAGAGAAAAAAACAACAAUAAAAAAACCCCAGUCCCCUAAACCAGAAGCCCCUGGUCACAGGCUGGCCUGGAAACAUGUCAGGAAUUUUUCCAAGGACAGAUACCUGGAGUCUGACCCACCUCUCCUCACCCCAGGAUGGCUGAGAGCUCGGCUUUCAGAGAACAUGGGCUGAGUGGGAAUGGGGCACAGGGAAAUGCCAGCGAAGACGCUGGCAGAAGCAAGUCAGGAGGAAGUGGCUUUGUGAGUUGUCGACCUCACAGCAGGCCGAGCAGCAGAAACUGAACCAUGCCGGGUACAGAGCUAUUUUCAGCCUUGGGGUUUUCACCCCCUGUCCCCACCAUUCUGGGCAGUGUAGCUCCCAUAUGAUACGGUCAGAGCCGUGGACUCGGGACAGAAGACAAGGCAGGCCUGAGAAGCAGAGGCAGCAGGGUUGCCCCAGUGGCGCCUCCCCACCGUGGAACCUUGGGCUCCUGAGACCCACUUUCCAGGCUUUUGCUUCCUCCCCUGCUCACUAAGGACCUGAACCAGUGUCCUCCUGCUGUAACACAUGACCCCAAACUUAGCAGCUUAAAAGAAUACACACUGGGACUGCCCUGGUAGUCCACUGGCUAAGACUCCGGACUUCCAAUGCAGGGGGACAGGUUCGAUCCCUGGCCAGGGAACUAGAUCCCACAUGCCACAACUAAGACCUGGCACAGCCAAACAAGUAAGUAAAUAAGUACAAACACACGCACGCACACACACGCAUUCUCUCAUAGUUCUGGAGGGCAGGAGUCUGACACGGGCUCACCAGGCUAAAAUGAAGGUAUCUGUUGGGCUGGCUCCUCUUGGAGGCUGCAGGGAGAGCUUGUCUCCCUCCCUUUUCCAGCUUCUAGAGGUGCCACUGUCUGUGGCUCCAUCUUCUGAGCCAGAAGGUGGCAUCUUCUAGUCUCUGACUCUGACCCUCCCACCUACCCCUUUGAAGGACCCUUGUGAGGACAUGGGGGACACCCAGGGAAUCCAUGACUAUCUCCCCACCUGGAGGUCUGUAUUGUAUUCACAUCUGCCAAGUCUCUUUGGCCACGAAGGUCCCUAGGACGUAGACAUGUCAGGUCAUCUUCC